CCUACGGGGCGCAGCAGUAGGGAAUAUUGCUCAAUGGGGGAAACCCUGAAGCAGCAACGCCGCGUGGAGGAUGAAGGUUUUAGGAUUGUAAACUCCUUUUGUUAGAGAAGAUUAUGACGGUAUCUAACGAAUCCGCACCGGCUAACUCCGUGCCAGCAGCCGCGGUAAUACGGAGGGUGCAAGCGUUACUCGGAAUCACUGGGCGUAAAGCGUGCGUAGGCGGGGUAAUAAGUCAGAGGUGAAAUCCUGUAGCUUAACUACAGAACUGCAUUUGAAACUGUUACUCUGGAGUGUGGGAGAGGUAGGUGGAAUUAGUGGGGUAGGGGUAAAAUCCGUAGAGAGCAAGAGGAAUACUCAUUGCGAAGGAGACCGGAUGGAACAUUAGUGACGCGGAUGCACGAAAGCGUGGGAAGCAAACAGGAUUAGAUACACUUGUAGUC
rnacentral:rRNA from 1 species